UGGUAGUNCACGCCGUAAACGAUGAGUGCUAGGUGUUAGGCCCUUUCCGGGGCUUAGUGCCGCAGCUAACGCAUUAAGCACUCCGCCUGGGGAGUACGACCGCAAGGUUGAAACUCAAAGGAAUUGACGGGGGCCCGCACAAGCGGUGGAGCAUGUGGUUUAAUUCGAAGCAACGCGAAGAACCUUACCAGGUCUUGACAUCCCUCUGACCGCUCUAGAGAUAGAGUUUUCCUUCGGGACAGAGGUGACAGGUGGUGCAUGGUUGUCGUCAGCUUGUGUCGUGAGAUGUUGGGUUAANNNNNGCAACGAGCGCAACCCCUAUUGUUAGUUGCCAUCAUUCGGUUGGGCACUCUAGCGAGACUGCCGGUAAUAAACCGGAGGAAGGUGGGGAUGACGUCAAAUCAUCAUGCCCCUUAUGACCUGGGCUACACACGUGCUACAAUGGCUGGUACAACGAGUCGCAAGCCGGUGACGGCAAGCUAAUCUCUGAAAGCCAGUCUCAGUUCGGAUUGUAGGCUGCAACUCGCCUACAUGAAGUCGGAAUCGCUAGUAAUCGCGGAUCAGCACGCCGCGGUGAAUACGUUCCCGGGCCU
rnacentral:rRNA from 1 species